GAUGAACGCUGGCGGCGUGCCUAAUACAUGCAAGUCGAGCGAACGGAUUAGAAGCUUGCUUCUCUGAUGUUAGCGGCGGACGGGUGAGUAACACGUGGAUAACCUACCUAUAAGACUGGGAUAACUUCGGGAAACCGUAGCUAAUACCGGAUAACAUUUUGAACCGCAUGGUUCAAAAGUGAAAGACGGUCUUGCUGUCACUUAUAGAUGGAUCCGCGCUGCAUUAGCUAGUUGGUAAGGUAACGGCUUACCAAGGCAACGAUGCAUAGCCGACCUGAGAGGGUGAUCGGCCACACUGGAACUGAGACACGGUCCAGACUCCUACGGGAGGCAGCAGUAGGGAAUCUUCCGCAAUGGGCGAAAGCCUGACGGAGCAACGCCGCGUGAGUGAUGAAGGUCUUCGGAUCGUAAAACUCUGUUAUUAGGGAAGAACAUAUGUGUAAGUAACUGUGCACAUCUUGACGGUACCUAAUCAGAAAGCCACGGCUAACUACGUG
rnacentral:rRNA from 1 species